CCGGACCUCAUUGAUUCAUGGAAGGAUUAUCAUUGGAAGAAAGCAACAAAUGAUUUCGUGAACGAUGAUGCUCGCCAAGAUUAUGAAAAACUGAAGGUUGAUUUUGAGUUACAAACUCAGCAAACAUCCACUGAUGCUUCUAAUAAUGAUAGUCCGUCAUCAGUUGAUCAGGUGGAGGUGCUACAAAAAGUAUUAGGCCAAAGGCGUGGACAUGUGCGAGGAGUGGGCCGCAAAUUGAAGGGGUCGGGGUCGGGGUCAUCAUCUACCCAACACUCUCACUUCAGCGAGUCUCAAGUUCCUCCUCAUCAUUCAAGAGAAUAUAUAGAAAAUUUGGAGAAUAAUCUACAGAAAUUGACUGAUCAAGUU